rnacentral:rRNA from 1 species
AAAGGAAUUGACGGGGACCCGCACAAGCAGCGGAGCAUGUGGUUUAAUUCGAAGCAACGCGAAGAACCUUACCUAGACUUGACAUCCUCUGCAUUACCAUUAACCUGGGAAAUCCCUUCGGGGACAGAGAGACAGGUGGUGCAUGGUUGUCGUCAGCUCGUGUCGUGAGAUGUUGGGUUAAGUCCCGCAACGAGCGCAACCCUUAUCGUUAGUUGCUACCAUUAAGUUGAGCACUCUAGCGAGACUGCCUGGGUUAACCAGGAGGAAGGUGGGGAUGACGUCAAAUCAUCAUGCCCCUUAUGUCUAGGGCUACACACGUGCUACAAUGGCCGGUACAGUGAGCAGCGAACCCGCGAGGGGGAGCCAAACUACAAAGCCGGUCCCAGUUCGGAUUGCAGGCUGAAACUCGCCUGCAUGAAGUUGGAGUUGCUAGUAAUCGCGAAUCAGAAUGUCGCGGUGAAUGCGUUCCCGGGUCUUGUACACACCGCCCGU